UCCAGGACAGUGGUGCUAGUAGUUGAUGU
rnacentral:piRNA from 1 species